UUAAGCGACUAAGCGUACACGGUGGAUGCCCUGGCAGUCAGAGGCGAUGAAGGACGUGCUAAUCUGCGAUAAGCGUCGGUAAGGUGAUAUGAACCGUUAUAACCGGCGAUUUCCGAAUGGGGAAACCCAGUGUGUUUCGACACACUAUCAUUAACUGAAUCCAUAGGUUAAUGAGGCGAACCGGGGGAACUGAAACAUCUAAGUACCCCGAGGAAAAGAAAUCAACCGAGAUUCCCCCAGUAGCGGCGAGCGAACGGGGAGCAGCCCAGAGCCUGAAUCAGUGUGUGUGUUAGUGGAAGCGUCUGGAAAGGCGCGCGAUACAGGGUGACAGCCCCGUACACAAAAAUGCACAUGCUGUGAGCUCGAUGAGUAGGGCGGGACACGUGGUAUCCUGUCUGAAUAUGGGGGGACCAUCCUCCAAGGCUAAAUACUCCUGACUGACCGAUAGUGAACCAGUACCGUGAGGGAAAGGCGAAAAGAACCCCGGCGAGGGGAGUGAAAAAGAACCUGAAACCGUGUACGUACAAGCAGUGGGAGCACGCUUAGGCGUGUGACUGCGUACCUUUUGUAUAAUGGGUCAGCGACUUAUAUUCUGUAGCAAGGUUAACCGAAUAGGGGAGCCGAAGGGAAACCGAGUCUUAACUGGGCGUUAAGUUGCAGGGUAUAGACCCGAAACCCGGUGAUCUAGCCAUGGGCAGGUUGAAGGUUGGGUAACACUAACUGGAGGACCGAACCGACUAAUGUUGAAAAAUUAGCGGAUGACUUGUGGCUGGGGGUGAAAGGCCAAUCAAACCGGGAGAUAGCUGGUUCUCCCCGAAAGCUAUUUAGGUAGCGCCUCGUGAAUUCAUCUCCGGGGGUAGAGCACUGUUUCGGCAAGGGGGUCAUCCCGACUUACCAACCCGAUGCAAACUGCGAAUACCGGAGAAUGUUAUCACGGGAGACACACGGCGGGUGCUAACGUCCGUCGUGAAGAGGGAAACAACCCAGACCGCCAGCUAAGGUCCCAAAGUCAUGGUUAAGUGGGAAACGAUGUGGGAAGGCCCAGACAGCCAGGAUGUUGGCUUAGAAGCAGCCAUCAUUUAAAGAAAGCGUAAUAGCUCACUGGUCGAGUCGGCCUGCGCGGAAGAUGUAACGGGGCUAAACCAUGCACCGAAGCUGCGGCAGCGACGCUUAUGCGUUGUUGGGUAGGGGAGCGUUCUGUAAGCCUGCGAAGGUGUGCUGUGAGGCAUGCUGGAGGUAUCAGAAGUGCGAAUGCUGACAUAAGUAACGAUAAAGCGGGUGAAAAGCCCGCUCGCCGGAAGACCAAGGGUUCCUGUCCAACGUUAAUCGGGGCAGGGUGAGUCGACCCCUAAGGCGAGGCCGAAAGGCGUAGUCGAUGGGAAACAGGUUAAUAUUCCUGUACUUGGUGUUACUGCGAAGGGGGGACGGAGAAGGCUAUGUUGGCCGGGCGACGGUUGUCCCGGUUUAAGCGUGUAGGCUGGUUUUCCAGGCAAAUCCGGAAAAUCAAGGCUGAGGCGUGAUGACGAGGCACUACGGUGCUGAAGCAACAAAUGCCCUGCUUCCAGGAAAAGCCUCUAAGCAUCAGGUAACAUCAAAUCGUACCCCAAACCGACACAGGUGGUCAGGUAGAGAAUACCAAGGCGCUUGAGAGAACUCGGGUGAAGGAACUAGGCAAAAUGGUGCCGUAACUUCGGGAGAAGGCACGCUGAUAUGUAGGUGAAGUCCCUCGCGGAUGGAGCUGAAAUCAGUCGAAGAUACCAGCUGGCUGCAACUGUUUAUUAAAAACACAGCACUGUGCAAACACGAAAGUGGACGUAUACGGUGUGACGCCUGCCCGGUGCCGGAAGGUUAAUUGAUGGGGUUAGCGCAAGCGAAGCUCUUGAUCGAAGCCCCGGUAAACGGCGGCCGUAACUAUAACGGUCCUAAGGUAGCGAAAUUCCUUGUCGGGUAAGUUCCGACCUGCACGAAUGGCGUAAUGAUGGCCAGGCUGUCUCCACCCGAGACUCAGUGAAAUUGAACUCGCUGUGAAGAUGCAGUGUACCCGCGGCAAGACGGAAAGACCCCGUGAACCUUUACUAUAGCUUGACACUGAACAUUGAGCCUUGAUGUGUAGGAUAGGUGGGAGGCUUAGAAGUGUGGACGCCAGUCUGCAUGGAGCCGACCUUGAAAUACCACCCUUUAAUGUUUGAUGUUCUAACGUUGACCCGUAAUCCGGGUUGCGGACAGUGUCUGGUGGGUAGUUUGACUGGGGCGGUCUCCUCCUAAAGAGUAACGGAGGAGCACGAAGGUUGGCUAAUCCUGGUCGGACAUCAGGAGGUUAGUGCAAUGGCAUAAGCCAGCUUGACUGCGAGCGUGACGGCGCGAGCAGGUGCGAAAGCAGGUCAUAGUGAUCCGGUGGUUCUGAAUGGAAGGGCCAUCGCUCAACGGAUAAAAGGUACUCCGGGGAUAACAGGCUGAUACCGCCCAAGAGUUCAUAUCGACGGCGGUGUUUGGCACCUCGAUGUCGGCUCAUCACAUCCUGGGGCUGAAGUAGGUCCCAAGGGUAUGGCUGUUCGCCAUUUAAAGUGGUACGCGAGCUGGGUUUAGAACGUCGUGAGACAGUUCGGUCCCUAUCUGCCGUGGGCGCUGGAGAACUGAGGGGGGCUGCUCCUAGUACGAGAGGACCGGAGUGGACGCAUCACUGGUGUUCGGGUUGUCAUGCCAAUGGCACUGCCCGGUAGCUAAAUGCGGAAGAGAUAAGUGCUGAAAGCAUCUAAGCACGAAACUUGCCCCGAGAUGAGUUCUCCCUGACCCUUUAAGGGUCCUGAAGGAACGUUGAAGACGACGACGUUGAUAGGCCGGGUGUGUAAGCGCAGCGAUGCGUUGAGCUAACCGGUACUAAUGAACCGUGAGGCUUAACCUU
rnacentral:rRNA from 1 species